AAAUUGAAGAGUUUGAUCAUGGCUCAGAUUGAACGCUGGCGGCAGGCCUAACACAUGCAAGUCGAACGGUAACAGGAAGCAGCUUGCUGCUUCGCUGACGAGUGGCGGACGGGUGAGUAAUGUCUGGGAAACUGCCUGAUGGAGGGGGAUAACUACUGGAAACGGUGGCUAAUACCGCAUAACGUCGCAAGACCAAAGAGGGGGACCUUCGGGCCUCUUGCCAUCAGAUGUGCCCAGAUGGGAUUAGCUAGUUGGUGAGGUAACGGCUC
rnacentral:rRNA from 1 species